CCGCGCUCGAAGAGAGUCCGUGCGGCCGGGUCCCGCGUCGGGGCGCCCCCGGCGCCCCGCCCCGCCGCCGCCUGACUUCUCGGCGCCCGAGAUCGCCCUCGCGGAGGCGGGGGCGGCCGGGGAUCUCCAAGCGCUGCCGCGCCCUCCUCCCGCCCGCCCCGCGCCCGCCCGCUCGCUCGGUGGCGGCGGCGAAGAAGACGGCUGGCAGGCGGCGGCGGGAGCGCGAGCGCGGCGGGACCGGGGCCAUGGCGCCCGCGCAGCGCCCGGUGCUGUCGCUGCUGCUGCUGCUGCUGCCGCUGCCGCCGCCGCCCUUCACGCGCGCGGAGGACGCCGCCCGAGCCAACUCGGACCGCUACGCCGUCUACUGGAACCGCAGCAACCCCAGGUUCCACGCUGGCGGGGGUGACGACGGCGGUGGCUACACAGUGGAAGUGAGCAUCAACGACUACCUGGACAUCUACUGCCCGCACUACGGGGAGCCGCUGCCGCCGGUGGAGCGCAUGGAGCACUACGUGCUGUAUAUGGUCAACGGAGAGGGCCACGCCUCCUGCGACCACCGCCAGCGUGGCUUCAAGCGCUGGGAGUGCAACCGUCCGGCGGCGCCCGGGGGCCCGCUCAAGUUCUCCGAGAAGUUCCAACUCUUCACGCCCUUCUCGCUGGGCUUCGAGUUCCGCCCGGGCCACGAAUACUACUACAUCUGUGGAGCCGGACGCGGCUGCAAGUAUCACUACCUCAGCGAGUGGGCGUGGCCGUGCGGCCGGGGCCAGGGCCACAAAGAACGGCACCACGUCUGGCAGUGGACGAGGCCACGCGCGCUACAUCCGUGAGGAGGCGGGGCCGCGAGUACUACUCUGUGCGGGGGCAGAGAGGGACCAACUGGUUGGGAAAAGCGAUGGACCUGCCUUCAACCUCCCCACACUGAGACUAGGCCCUGCCCAUCUGCCAGUGCACUGAGGAGAGAAACUGAGGCAUCUGGAGCCCAGAGCGGGAGGGGAGUGUAGAGGAACCACAAUGUGAGGGCAGAUCCUUCGUUCUGCACUGGCCAUGAGCGGACUGGGAAGGGGGUUCCCUAGAUUUCCCCCAUCACCUGAAGCUGCCCUAUAUCUAGAGGGUCUCCAGUAGCGGAUUGGUUAGCAGAGCUUAAUAAUAGUCGGCUGGGUGGGGUUGGGGAAGGCUGCCCCUUCCUGCUGCCCAGGUGGGGUUGCAAGCUGGCCUUUAGCUCCCCAACAGCAGAGUCUGGCAGGGGUUCAAAACACUUCUUGGUCAUGACCUUGGCAGCCCUUUGCUCUUUGUGACCUUGGCCAGGAAUGGAGGGGGAGGGGGUCCAAGCACUGCCAACUGUGAGAUGGGAGUAAUGGCACUGCACUCGAUGUCUUGGCCAUUGUGCUAGACUGAGGGGUCCCAUGGUGUGUGGGAUCCCUGUUUCUCAUCAUCUGAGGGUGAUGGGGAGCUGCGUGGGGGGGGGAGCUUGGGUCUGGCCCCCAGGGCUGCAUGAAGGGGCCAGGUGCCUCCACACCCAGCUCCUGUGGUGUCGAACUUUACAAGGCCCAAUUUCCUCCUUUCUCUGCUCUUUUUGGAUUUUUCCCUUUUUUUUUGAGACAGAGUCUCACUCUGUCACCCUUGGUAGAGUGCUGUGGUGUCAUAGCUCACAGCAACCUCCAGUUCUUGGGCUUAGGCGAUUCUCUUGCCUCAGCCUCCUAAGUAGCUGGGACUACAGGCACCCACCACAACAACCUGGCUAUUUUUCUGUUGCAGUAUGGCCGGGGCCGGGUUCAAACCUGCCACCCUCGGUAUAUGGGGCCAGUGCCCUACUCACUGAGCCACAGGUGCCACCCUGGAUUUUUCCCUUUAAUUCAUGGAAGAACUGGGUGCGGAAGGAGGAAUAAGGUGUUUAAAUUAAGUCCUCAUAAUAUAAGAAAAAUUACAUUUUUCUUUCUAAGACAGGAGUUUCAUAAAGGUAAUUAUUGUAAUUAUUCGUCCUAUCUCUGUGACAAAUGAUAUUUUUAUUACGUGCUUUUUAUCUCUAUCUUCCAGCCUUAGGGGUUUUUGGGGAGCCAGCAGAGGUGACCUGACCUCUUCCCUCUGUGUGUGUGUACUCACACCUUUUUACUCUUGUCCAUAUGUGCAUUCUCCCCACUGGCUCCAGUUGGGCUUUAGGCUUCUUUUCCUCCUGACUCACCCCUGAUACUGUGGAGCACUCCCAUCCCUUACUGGGGCACUUCUUCUGUGGG